rnacentral:lncRNA from 1 species
CUUAUUUAUUCCGACAAUGACCGAAUUUUGUAUUUGCAACGACAGGGGGAUGUGUCUACAUUAAUAGGCUGUGUAAACGGCAAGCUAUACAUACAUUAUCCAAUACGCCCCUCGUCCUGAACAUUCUUGAAAUAUUUGCCACUGGACGUUGAGCAACCAACAACUAUUCCAAUAGGCCCGAAUUGUUAAAAAAUCAUUUAAAGGAAAUAAAGUAUUUUGUGACACCUAAAUAACCUUUUAAGCAAUUAUUACUAUGUCAGUCUUCUAAAUUUAGAAACAGUCACAUAUGACUACCGGUGAAGUAAAAGCCUAUCGCAUUAUAUGUUAUAUCAUAUCAAACUAGAUUUUCCAAAAAAGACUUGUUUUUAACAUUAGUACAUGCCCUUCAACAUUUCUCUUUUGUUCCAUCGUACUUUAGCGUGCUACACCAUCGCAUUUUAGCAAACAAACAACCAUCGUACUUUAGCGUGAGAUACCAUCGUACUUUAGCGUAGACCAUCGCACUUUAGCGUGACCAUCGCACUUUAGAGUACCAUCGCACUUUAGAGUCCUAC